CCCGGCGACCGGCGCACGGGUGAGUAACACGUAUGCAACCUGGCCGCCACAGGGGAUAACCCGCGGAAACGCGGCCUAAUACCCCGUGACGCCACCGGAGGGCAUCCUCCGGUGGCCAAAGGAGCGAUCCGGUGGCGGAUGGGCAUGCGGCGCAUUAGCUAGACGGCGGGGUGACGGCCCACCGUGGCGACGAUGCGUAGGGGUUCUGAGAGGAAGGCCCCCCACACUGGGACUGAGACACGGCCCAGACUCCUACGGGAGGCAGCAG
rnacentral:rRNA from 1 species